AGGUGCACCGUGAACUCAAAUAU
rnacentral:miRNA from 1 species